AGGGACGCCAUGUUGUCGGGGGACGCCAUGUUGUGAGGCGGCGCCGUGUUGUCGGGGGACGCCAUGAGGCGGUGCCGCAUUGUGAGUUUGAAAUAAGUGGAAAACACAAGCCUGUUGGACGUGGGGUUAUGCUGAAACAGUACAGCAGGAGUCCAAAUGGGAGAGGAAAUCUUUGCAUGAUCAGUGCCACCAGGAGAUAAAUAAGCAGUGGGAACCAGGAGGAGGAGGCUCUGAGGAGCUGUGACCUUGCACUGCUCUUGCUCUAUGUGGCCAACUGCCUGAACUGAACAAAUAUCCUUGGAACGCCGUACUCUGAUUCAACCAAGAGAAAAUGCAUUCCCACGGUAUCAUCAAAGGAGCUGCAUCCAGCACCAGAUUUUCCUACCGACCAGACCAACAGGCCGAGUCUGGCAGCCCUGUACACCAGCUCUCGUGACUCCAGCUGAUACAUUCACAUCAUGAGAAGGCCCAGGUAAAGAAAAUGUGAAGUUCUUGGUAUAUUUGCUACGACCUUCGUACCUAAUGAUGAAACAAACCCCAACCACAGGUAAGAGAUUCUUACAGACUCUUUCCCUCUCAGAAAGAAAAUGUACAAAUUUUAAAGUAUGAAAAGAAAAUCCUCUAUUUUUGGUACUCUCUUGUCACCAUGUGAAAGUUACAGAAAUCUGAAGGCAAGCCACAAUGGAGUGAAAGAUGCUUCACUAGUUAUGAAUUUUCUCCCUUUGGGAAGGUAUAUUAAGAACACUUAGAAAGCUUUCUUGAUAUAAACAUGUUGAAAAAUUGCUUUUUCACUAUGAAAAGCAUUUUAAUGUCUCACAAACAGAUUUUUCUGUGAAUCUAUAAAUACACAUAUGGAAAGAUAAUAUAACCAAUAUAACCAUUUGGUGCUGGUAUGUGAAAAGAUCAUAUCUUAUUUUUCUAUCAUUGCUUAAAGCAAACUGCAGCAUUAGCUGUACAACAAUCUUCAUUAAAACGCUCAACUGCAUUUGGCUUGCCUCACAAAAUUAUCAAUCAUACUUUAUUUUUUUCACAGAUCUAUAAAUCAGUCAAAUAGUCUACAAUUAAAACAAUCUAAUAACUCCCUCUAUGUUUAUUACAGUUCUUUUAUGAUAAUUAAAAGUAUACCUCACUUGAGCAGCAGGUAGCUUUAAGCAAGCAGAGUUGCUCUGAGCUCUGUCCAGCAAGAACAGGAGUCACUGUAAGAUUGCCCAAAGCAAGGGGAAAAAAAAGGCUGGUGUUUGUGAUGUUGGUGGCUCACACACAAAUCUCCUGGAUACACUGUACUACUAGUUGAGCAAGUAAUACACACUGCCAAAUGCUUUUUCCUCUCCUCCUUCUGUUAAUAAAACCAAGAGCAAUGCUGUUUGCUGCUGCCCGCACUAGAGGAGGCCAAGCUCAGUAGGCAGGGUCUGAUGUGAGCUCUUUGAAGGUAGCCAUAGGUCCUCUGAUUUGACAGCAGCCACCAGCUACGGGGAAAAGUUUCAUGUAAUUUAGGGCUGAAGGAAAUUACACUGAAACUCUUUUUUUCUAAAAGCAUCUUUAAUUUCAAUCCAAAUACAGUACGUUUGCAGCACAACAUUAGAAUUCCUGUUCCAACAUUUCAUAAUACAUUAGUUUCCUGUAAUU